rnacentral:lncRNA from 1 species
UGGAUUGGAUGGUGGAGGAGGUAGAGAAGUUAGGGAGGAAUGGGGCAGUGGCGGAGGAAGUGGAGAAAUUGCGGCGACGAGUACGGGAAGAGGGGAGAUUGAGAGGGUAGGCCAAGCCCGGAGAGGCCAUCGCCGCCAUUUGGGAUAAGGCAGCCAUGACGCAAACAGUGAAAGAAGCUGUUGGAGGAAGGGACGCUGCCGUGGUGUUAACUGCACCCCUGCGCUUCUUUAGCCUCUCCCUCUCUCGACUCAGUGUCUAUAAGGAUUUAAGAAUUUUUAGAGUUGGGUUUAUUAAUAUUAUCGACGGAAAAAAAAAAAGUAGCAAGAAUGUACAGUUAGGUGAAUUUUUUUUUUUGGGAAGAAGGAAUUUAAUUAGGAGUAAUUUCAGAAACCUCCCUUGAGGUUUCUGACAAUUACAGACCUCCCCUUAAGUUUAUUAAAUUACACCUACCUCCCUUGACCAUACUAUUCUAAAGAGCUUAGCUAAUCUUGUUGGUUUGAAGUUACUAUAGAGGUUUUGUUUUUUGUUCGUAGGUGCGUUCCGUAUGAUAUUUAUAUAACAAUAUACGUCCAAAAGGCAUUUUUUCUCAAAAGUUCUAAACUACCUUUUUUGUACAAAAAUAAAACAAAAAUUAUUUUGCCAAUUUUUUUUUCAUAUUUAAGCUAAAACACUAUACUAACAAACUAGUCUAACAAAUAGUGUAAUUCCAAAUUCUAAACCCAAGCAAUUCCAUCAUCAUAUCAUAAAAUUGUUUCUCCCAAAAUAUUUCUGAAAAUGCAUUUCAUUCUUCAAAAAUAUUCUCAUCAUAUGGUUCCAUCUGGUCAAACUCACAAUCAACUACCCUUAUGUUAGCAUAAUUUUCAACAUAGGUAUCAUGGUUUGGUUCCAUAUAAGCGGCUUAACUCCUACUACAUGAGCCACUUAAUGGGCUUGAAAAAAUCCUUAUGGAGAUUUAGGCAUAGAUGGGAUUAAUCAAGUUUAAGAAAAAAAAGGCAUCAUUAUGACUAUAGAGAUUUUCAAGAAAUUCAUUUUGCCAAAAAUCAAAAUUCUAUUUACAACUAAUCACAUCCCAAACUUCAAACCAAUGCCUACACCUUCUCAAAACAAAAUAAUCUAACCUACCAUUAAAUCUCCAAACAUGUUAACGUCUUAAAUACAGAAAAAAACUCUAUCUCCAUAACGAACUACAACCAAUAAUUGUCAAGUAUAAAAAGAAAUGAAAUAUACUUUUAAUAUCUUAAAAAGUUUUUUGGAUAGAUGAUAGACAAAUUAGUAAAUUUAUCAAUUUCAAUCCCUCGUGCUCUUUAACAAUGAUUGCGUUAUUUGUUUCAUUAUUAUUGUAUGCCUUUCAUCUCCUUUUAAUUUGAUCAUGAAAUUGGAUUUUACUUCAAUCAUCAUAUCUAAUCUUUCAACUAAACAUGUGAUUUGACAAUUGUAAGUGCCCGGUGCAACCCAAUGAGUACAAACAAAUUCACAAUGAUGCACAAAGAUAUAUCAAAUUUAAGCACAAUAAAGAAAACUUAAUUAAAGAGAAAGGAUAAGAAAUGCAAACCAAAUAUCAAACCAAUAGCCUCUUCAAUUGAUGGCGAUGCUAACCAAUAUGUACAAGUGAAGGCUCACUCCUUCCUCACCCCAAACACACUUUGGUUGAGCCAAGGAGUUAUACAACUAUUCUAGUUAACCCUCAACAACCUACACUUGAAAGAUCACUCACCCAAUUAAGAACUAUUUUAUACAAAUGAGGCAACCUUCACCAAGGUUUUACCACUUCAAGUGAUAGGUUCACCUUCACCAAGGUUUUACUUCUCCUAGAGAGAAACCUUCACUUGAGCAACCUCACAACCCAACUUCCCCAACCCCUUAUACAACCAACAAAGAAUCUUUCUACUCAAAAAUCUCACUUGUAAGCUUGUAUUUUGUGUUGGCAAAAGUCUUUUGUCUUCUUGUGCUUUGGGGUAUUUAUAGAAGGUGAGAAAUGGCUUCAAAAGGCUCUCUAACGGUCAAAUAUUAAAUGCUGUCAAAACUAGCCGUUGGCCUGUCGGACGUCCGAACCCUGCGUCCGAACGUAGGCAGAGAGUCAUCAAAUCUUUGCGAAAUUUCUCGGACGUCCGAUGCGAUCGAUGUGCGUCCGAGGCGUGCGUCCGAUCCUUCCGGACGUCCGAUGCUUCCUCACGAGCGUCCGACAGAGUUUCCUUCUUGAUGUUCUUCAUCCUUUCGGACGUCCGAUAGUUUCCUUUUGGCCGUCCGACAUGAGUGACCUGAUUUUGCUUCUUCAUUUGGUUGGUUUUCUUUCCUUGACACCAUUGAACCUGAUUCUAACAAAUUUCUCACAUAAAAACAUUAGACCAAAUCUACAUUUUGGUUUGUUAAUCAUCAAAACCAAGGAUUGAUCGACCAAGGUCAACAACAAUUCCAAAGAGAAAAAAAGGAGAAAUAGAAAUAUAUAAUAGAGUUUGAGGGAUCACUUAUGGUGCGAUUGGCUGCAAUUAUAGGUAAUAGAUUGUGGUAAUUUGAGAUCGAAUUAUAGGAGAAAGGGGUUGAUGGAUGAAAAUAAAGUGAUAGUAAGUGAGAGAGAAUCAUUGUUGGCUGUAACUUGUAAAUAGAAUAGCUGAAAAGGUCAGGUUUCUCUUUGUUUUUUUUUUAAUCUCAUUUCAUUAUACUAUGGAUUAUUUAUUAAUUAUUUAUUAAGUGAAGGUCAUUAUAGUCAUUUUAUUAUGACAAAAGAGGUUAGUAUAAUUUGUAAUAAUUGAGAGGAGCCGAAAGAAAUUGUCAUAAACCUCAGGGGAGGUUUGUGAAAUUAUCCCAUUUAAUUAAGAAGGCAAACAUAAGGAAAUUGAGGCAUGAGAAAACCAUUUUGCUUUGCGUCUUUAAGGACAAACAUUUUGCUAUGUGAUAUUUGUAAUAUAAAAGGUGAUGGAAAAGACAAAAAAUUAUAUUUGUAAUACAAGCAAAUAAUUUUUUGACAAAUAAUUCCUAUCCAUUAUCUCAAAAGACAAAUUACUAAUUUUUGCUAUAGCUAAUGGAAGUUGGGAGAGAGAAUCAAAUCAAAUCAAAUGAGCUAUUUAAUUGAAAUGUUAAUCACACUUUAUCCCUCCACCUUUUGGGAUAGUCACACUUUACCAUCUUUAUCUCUAAAAAUACAUACUUUUAUUCCUCAUGAAAAUUAGUCAACCUUAAAUACCCUAACUUCGUUAAAAAAAAGUGUGUUGUGAUAAUAUUGCUCCUUUGUUGCUGAAAUUAUCUAUAAUUUACUAUUUUCGUUCUUUUAUUUGCCCAAAAAAUGAGUUUGUUUUAAUCUCUAUUCUCCACUUCAAGUUUAAAAAUAAGGUAUAGCAACCUUUUUUAGUAAAUUUGGUUAAUUAUUUAAUAGUUGAUUAAUUUAACAAAUAAAAAAUGAUAACAAUAUUAUUAUAAUAGUUUACAUAAGCUAAAGCAAAAAAAAAAUUUAAAAUAACAUGCUUGAUAUUUCCUUUUAUUUUCAAAAUUUUGCCAACUAUAUUUAUUGUUAUUACUAUGUUAUUUAUCCUUGUUAUUUGAUUUAAAGUCUAAUAAAUUGAAAAAAGGUGUAUAUAUAUAUAUAUAUAUAUAUAUAUAUAUAUAUAUAUAUAAUAGAAGAAUGAAUAGUAAUCCAACAAGAAUAAGCAAACAUUUAAGAAUAAUAAAUUAAAUGUAAACUUUUUCUUCUCUUAUCAAUUGGAUAUUUUUGUAUAGUAGACAUGAUGGAGAAGAUCAAUAUCUUUUAGCAAGAAAAAAAGACUAGUAAUUUAUAACUAAUUUUAUAAAUAAAAGGGCAACAAUUCACUUUUUUUGUGGGAAUUAGAUUUCUUACCUUGACUAAUUUUAAUGUGGGUGUAAAAAUAACUUUUAAGGUUAAGGGUGAUAAAGUGUGACUACCCCAAAGUUCAGGGAGACAAAGUGUAAUUAACCCUUAAUUGAAUAGCCAAAGGUAGACGAUUGCCAGCUGCGAGCACGACCCAGAAAAAAUGGAAACGGCGAGAAAAUGAUAUUGCGGUCACAUACAUGUCACUUCCGGUACACCUUGGCAAACUCGGCGAAAGUGGCCAAUCAUCGCUUUUCAGGCGCCGUAACAACCCAUAAUACCAUAUCCAAGGCCCAGUAAAUUCUUUCCACUCCUGUGAUUUUCAAGACUUCACAACUCACCCAGGAAACAACCAAUUGAACUGUUUUACAGAUUUAAACCUCUUAGCUGAGUUUCAUCAGCAUGGGUUUUUACACAGACCCCAUAUUGUCAACAGAAUCAUUUCCACUUGCUCAAAAUUUGGCUCAUAUUCUGUUGGGAUUCAAAUGCAUACCCAUGUUAUUAAAAUGGGAUUUGGUUCAAAUAUCUAUAUCUCAAGCGCCUUGGUUGAUAUGUAUUGCAAAUGUGGUACCGUUGUGUCGGCUCACCAUUUGUUUGAUGAAAUACCGGAGAGAAAUGCUGUGACUUGGAAUUCUUUAAUUUCUGGUUACCUAGAAACCCUUUGUCCUGGAACAGCAAUGUACUUAUUCACAGAAAUGCUAAGAUUCGGGAUAUUUCUGACGCCAUAUAGCAUUUCGGCAGCUCUUGUGGGUUGUGCCCAGCUUGAAGAUUGCUGGCUUGGGGCUCAAGUCCAUGCUCUGGGUUUAAAAUUUGGUUUUGAGUUUAAUGUUGUUGUGGGGACUGGUUUAAUUGAUAUGUACGCCAAAUGUUUGGAUAUUGAAGCCUCAAGAAGUGUGUUUGAUAGAAUGGUUUGUAAGAAUGUUCUCAGUUGGACAUCAAUGAUAACUGGUUAUGCACAGAAUAAGCUCUCCUUGGAGGCAAUGACUUUGUUUCGGGAUAUGUUGCGGGUUGGAAUUGAGGCAAAUUAUGUGACAUAUAACAGUUUAUUGAGGUCGUUUUGUUGUCCUGAUGACCUAGACCAUUGCAGGGAAAUCCAUUGUCGUAUAGUUCAGGAAGGUUUUGAGUCUAAUAUUUUUGUGUCAGUUACACUGGUGACUGUAUAUUCAGAGUGUAGUUGUAGCUUAGAGGAAUUCUAUCGAGUUUGUUCAACUAUUACCCUUUGGGACCAAAUCUCAUGGAAUGCAGUCAUUGCCGGUUUUUCCAAUUUAGGAAGUGGUGAGGAAGCACUAACCUGCUUCUCAAAGAUGAGGCAGGCAGGCAUCAGUGUUGAUAUUUUCACGUAUGCAAGUGUGUUGAAAUCAAUUGGUAUUAUUUCAGCUCUUGAAGUGGGGAAGCAGAUCCAUAGUCUGGUUACCAAGGGAGGGCAUGCUUCAAAUAUCUGUGUGCGGAAUGGGCUUGUUUCCAUGUUUGCAAGAUGCGGUAAUCUUAGUUAUGCAAAGAAAGUAUUCACGUUGAUGGAUGAACAUGAUGUCAUAUCAUGGAAUUCACUGUUGUCGGGCUAUUCCCAUCAUGGAUAUGCCGAGGAAGCUAUUAGAAUGUUCGAAGAGAUGAUGACCACUGGGGUUAAACCAAAUCUAACAACAUUCCUCAUAGUGCUUUCUGCUUGCAGCCAUUGUGGCCGGGUGGAUAAAGGACUCGAGUAUUUUCAGUUGAUGAAAGACGAUGAUAGCCUUCCACCACCCAAUUUAGAGCACUAUGCUAGCAUUGUUGAUCUGUAUGGUCGGGCUGGUCAUCUUCAGGAAGCCGAGGCAUUCAUUGAUAACAUGCCAAUACAGCCAGGACCCUCGAUGUUCAAAAGUUUACUGGGUGCUUGUCAAGUUCACGGUGACAAAGAAAUUGCAGUACGAUCUGCAAGAAGGCUUGUGGAGCUUUGUCCAAGUGAUCCUGCAACUUAUGUUGUGCUAUCAAAUAUCUUGGCCUGUGAAGGUAGUUGGAAUGAUGCAGCUGGUAUCCGCAAGAUAAUGUGUGAUAGACAAGUGAGGAAAAACCCUGGAUAUAGUUGGAUUUGAUUCCAAAGAGCAACUAAGUUUAAGCCAUGACAUUAGGGGUGGGAGAUCUGUACAUCAAGAUAUGAAAUCCUAACAGGUAACUUCGCGUGAUUAUGCCCAGGAAACAUUCUUGCAUUUAAUUUAGGCAAACUAAUGGACAGUGUUGUGAAGUUAGUCUUGGAGGACCAUCUUGAGGAAUGAGGAGAAUAGUUGUAGUAACAGCAAUCGGGGAACUUUUGGCUCGACAGAUGUUUUUUAACCCAAAUUUUUCCUAACCGCCUGUCGUAUUAUGAUUUUGGAGUUGGACUCUCACUAGCCGGAAACAAGAAUCAGCCAAUUUCAUUCUUUGCAUUAAAGUUUUAAUUUCGUAUUCUUUUUCGGUUUAGAAGUACCAUCAAAAGGUCCGGCAAAUGCAUCGCCUAGGUUCGGUGCUUUGCAUUCUGAAUACAUAAUACACGGAAAAGUACUUGAUACUUGCUACAGAAGUCGAAGCCCAAAAUAAAAAUAGCCUGUUGCAAGAGCUUGUUGCCACUUGGAGAGCUAGGAGCCCUCGUACUCUAACGUCCAAAGUGGAUGGUUAGAUGAUCUGUGGUUUGUGUCGUUUACGGUUCUGUAAUCCACAAGGAACCCGAAAGCCAUGCAUUUACCAACGCUGUCUGCGCUUAAAUUUCCCCUCAGUUUAAACUUUCACAGAACCGGUGAAGAGGAGACCAUAGGGUGUGGUGGAUAACAAGAAUACGGAGGCGAAGCAUUAGAAACCAGUGAAGAAGAGGACAACAAAUUAUGAUGGAUGACAAGAAUAUAAAUUGGAUUGAAAAGCAUCAUAAGACGAUUAUAAUGGGUAACAAGAAUAGUUAGGAGAAACCAUCAGAAGAAGACGACAGCACACUCAGAAAGUUUACAUUCUUGCACGAUGGCCCAACUUGAAGUCAGCAGAAAAUAUGCCGAGACCCCAACCCCGAAAACUCCUAAAGCUCAAUCCCUCACCUUUGAGCAACUCCUUCAAGGUAAAUCCAAACAUGAAAUUCACCAAGCAAUGAAUUUUUUUUGUUUGGCACUUUUCUUCUUUGAAUUUUUUUUAAUGACACUUUGUGCGCUAAAUUUUUAAACCAUGCACGGUUUUCACGCUGGAUUUUGCUUGUCAGAUGAUGAAGCUUCAUGGCAACAUAGUACCUCACCGACUCUUGCAAGGAACCACUACCACGAUGAAGAUUUGAGUCCCCAUAAUAAUAAGAAAUCAGUUUUGACUAAAGUCAAGGAGAGAGCUAGGAAAUUGCGCCAGUCAUUCAGCGGAAAGAAGAAGCAUGACGAUGAGAAUCAUGAAACCCCGGACGGCAACACUACACCGCCUUGGGGUGUUAGUUUGGACGACUCCUAUGAUGAUGAAGAAGAUGAAGAUGCUGAGUAUCUUGGAGCUCCAAGUAUCCUCUAUCUAUGGCCCUUCAUGAUAUACUUAUUCUUUGUUCAGACGUUUAAUCUAAAUAUAAAACAUUAUAAAUGCACUAUAAUAUACGUUUGUCCUGAUUUUGGCUUCAUUUCAUUAAGAAUAUUUCUACCUGAUUUUCAGUGUAUGAAUCAGAGCUAGCACCGAAAUUUAUAGAGAAACUGCAAGGCAACAUCCAAGAGCAGAUCCAGUUGUUUCUGAGAAGCACCUUUUCCCAACCAGCAUCAAACACGAAGAUGGAGAUGAAGGGAAAGAUAAGGCUGCUGCUGUAAGCAAGACCAUCACUGAAACCGUGUCUGAGAAACUCGCACCAGCAUAUGCUAAGGUCAGCGAUGCCACUCAUUAAUUGCUUCCAAGAUUGCAGGGUUGACUAUUUCAAGCCCUGAGGACCAAGAGAAACAUGCAAAUCCGGAUACGGAGCAUCUUCCUGCUGACGAUGUCAAGAAUAUUGACAGGAGCUCCGAGAUUAGAGAACAUCUGGGUAAUUGAGCCCACAAAGUGGGACAAAGGUGUUUCUGUGAAGGAGUAUUUCAUGAACAAGAUCGAGCCUGGAAGAUGACAGAGCACUUUCUCAGGCCAUAUCUGAGGCAAUAAGUCCAAGAAAGAGUCCUCGUGAUAUGGGCAUGGUGGAAAAAGUGCGAGAAGCUGUAACUUCAUUUCUUCGACAUGAUGAACACCCUCACUCUGCUUCAAAAGGCUCUGUGCAGAACCCUCCACGGAGAAAAUCAAGGGAACAAAUUUUCUCAAAACGUUCCCGUUUCUACUACCAAAACAGAAGCUUCACCUCCACAGCCAAACCUCAAGUCUCUUGGUGAGAGCACUGUGGAAAAACUCCACAGGGACCCAAGCAAGGCAACAAGUUUGUCAUCUAAUAAUCCGGUUUCCCCACCAAAUUCCCUCUCUUCAGUCAAUGUAAAUUCGUCUCCGGUCACCAUGUCCCCCAGGGCAAUCUCUAGGGAAGAACCAUCCAAGGAGACAAUUAAACCGGCGAAUUUGUCAUUAAAUCUUCCCAAUUCUACCAAGAAAGGGGUUCCACCACCAAAUUCCAACUCUUCUACCAGUGCACACACGCCUUCACAUGCCCCCAUCUCCCCAGGUGCAAAUUUUAUGGAACAACCCAGGAACGAGAGAGCAAAGGCAGCAAACUUGUCGCCACAAGUUCCCCUUUUUAUCAGGACCGAAGUUCCACCACUCAAUUCUAUCUCUUCUACCAAUGCAAGUUCAUUGUCACAUGUUUCCAGCCCCCGUGGCGCAAGUUCUAAAGGAAAACCAUCCAGGGAGACGAUGAAAGCGGAAUAUUUGAUAUCACACAAUCCCCUAUGGAUCAAAACAGAAGUUCCAUCACCAACUUCCACCUCUUCUGCCAAUGUAAAUCCGUCGUCAUACUUCCCCUCUUCCGCAGCACAAGCUUAACGCCUCAGGUCCCUGUCUUCCACAGCGCAAGUUCAUCUCCCCUCGUUCCAGUCUCUACUAAUGCCCAAGAAGGUUAGCUCCUGUUUUAUGAAUUAGGAACUUUAGUUGAAUAAUAGUUAUACAGCCAGAAUACUUGCCUGGCUUCCGUAAUUUGCUGAAUGCCCAAAAAGUUAUCCUCAAACUAUAUGAACAAAAGCCAGGGUCCUAAUCCUGGCAGGCUGUCAGUCACUAAAUCGAUGCUGCAAAACUUCCGGAAUCCUUAGGAUUUAUUUUUCUCUUUAUUUCGUUACUCAAAUUCAUUUUGAUCUCCGAUGAAAUUUUGGUUGCAGAUCUUGAGGAGCAAACUCAUGGAAGAAUACUUCAAGCCAACUGAAGACCAACUCUUGGUCAGGUGCAAAUUGAUUACCAGCUAUUUCCUGAAUCUCCUUUAGUGGGACCUUGUGCAAUCAUAAGCUGGUCAACCAGAAAUAAGUUGCUUUUACAGCACCAUUAGUAGGAAUUUUGUACCCAUUAGUACUGAUGGAUCUGCCAUUUUAGUCCGAAAUUAGUUACAUUAUUGGUCACUGCAGAUGUGUCUGCAUUCUUAAUUAGGUCUGUAGGCCAAGUUGUUUAGACAAAUAGACAACAAGAGGACUUCAGCCGAUGUGGGUUCUUUGUUGUGAUAAUUGCAUCUGUGCUGUAUAAUCAUCCUUUGAAGUGAAUGAUUUCAUCUUAAAGUGACACAGAAUCGAAUUACUAUUCAUUGCCUAAAUAAAAAGCAUAAGAUUGUCGGGGAAGAACCUUGCAUCCUAAUAUAAAUUGAAUUGAAUUAAGGCCCAGGUGGAUAUUUGUGUAGACUCCUUUUCUUUGAUUUUUGGCAAGUAAUAAGGAGUAGUAUUCUACCCAUGGAUGAGAUCUUGAUCGUUUGUAAGGUAAACCAGAAGAUUUUGAGAUAUUACGGAGGGAGGGUUGGUGAGAUGUCCUUAAAAAUUUUUGAUGGUCUCUCAGUUAAGUCCUUAGAAAUCAAAAUGAAAGGUUUGAACAAUACCUCGUAUCAUGGCAUCUAAAUGAGUACAUCUCAUUUCCAAGUCUUCACUGCAAGGUUGUCACACAAUAUCUACAAAUCAGAGAACUGUUAGGUUACUAGAAUCUAGUAAUCACAGAUCCUGACGCAUUAAGCCUUCACUUUAAAAUUUUGGACUCGAUUUCUUCCAAGCUCAAGCCUUUGGUCUCAGGGACAUACACCACCGCAAACACAAGCGACAAUAGAGCAAUUGCACCGAACAGAAGAAAAAGAUUAGCAGCCCCAAGCAACUCCUGCAGAAAUAGAUAAUGACAGAAUGGAUCAGUCAAAGAGAGAACCGGAAACAUGAAUCAUGAAUCCAAGCUUUGAGAGUAACAAGUUUCUGGGAAGAGUUUAAGUCACCUUCAGUGGAGAGAAAGCAAAAGUUACUAUUGCGUUUGAGCCGAAAUUCGUAAGAACUGCGAGACUGAUCCCCUUUCCUCUAGUUCGUAGAGGGAAAAUCUCAGACACCAUAAGCCAACUUAUAGGCCCAAACGAUACCUGAUAUAAAUACAAAUAUGGAACAAUUAGCAAAGCUGACCACUAGCUAAAAGAAAGUUUCAACCGCAACUGAUAAAUCCCAUAUUUCUUGUAAAUAUUUAAUGCAUCCCAAAAUAAGUCAAAUCAUCUUUUUUUUUUUUUUUUUGUGUUUUUGGGGGAGGGGGAGGUAUUUUACCUGAUAGCUACCAACAUAUAGAAGUAAGCUGCCACAGCAACCAAAGGAUAACCUCCAAGAAAUUCGUAAUAAGCCCAAAGAAGCAGCAAAGACAAGGCCUAUGAACAAAAAGAAAGUUAAAUUGUACCUACUAUGACGAAAAGUAACAAAAACUGUAGGGCUUAUUAAAGCUUACGAUGCCACCAACACCUCCAAUCAGUAAUGGCCUACGCCCAAGAUCAUCAACUUUUAGAACAGCAAUUCCUGUCAUCACCAACUUCAGAACAAUACCAAAUGAAAGUCAAUUAUAAGCUUCCCUCAAACAGAAAAGAUUCAAGAAAUUUCUUCAGUCACCUGAUCAGACACACCUUAAACGUGCCAAUUACAACUGAAAGACGCGUAGCAUCAGAAGCAGCAGCAAAUCCAGCAGUCUUGAGACAAAAAUUCAUAUUAUUAUAAGGUCAAGUGAAAACAGCAGCAAAUGAAUGGAUAAAUAAUAACAGGGUGAAAAAGCAAACCACCUGAAGAAUUGGACCAGCAUAAUACAGAACACUUGGCUGCCCAGUUAUCUGUAAUAACAAUUUGGUAAACUUGCUGUUAGGAUAACUUUUAUUUAACCCCAAUGAAUAUAGAAAAGAAAAAGAAUAAAGAUAAUAUCAUGCAGAGAACAAAUUGAAAGAAGAUUUUCAUCACCUGUUGAAAAAGGACCAGGCCUCCACCAAUUAUAAAUGCUUUCAGACUUGGACCCUGAAACACCUCCAGGACACUCCCUUCAGAUUGUUGAUCAGCAUAAGCAGUUUUCAAUGAGGUAAGGGUUUCCUCUAUCUGCUUUUCAGACACUUUAUCGCCUGCAGCUCGGCCUCUUAGUCUGCUCAAAGCAUGUUUUGCCUUUUCUUUCAACUCUUGUAAGGGCCCUUUACUUGAACUGCCCUGAGAAGUAACCACCGGGGAGAUGGUGGAAGAGACAGCAUGCCUAUCCCCAUAAGCAAUGCAAUAGGAGCACUUAGUCCAUACAUGUAACGCCACCCUCCAACGACAUAAUUUCAUAGCUCCCAACAAAGUAACCCAGCUGCAGAAAGAGCAAUUAUUAACACCCCCAUGUUCUUUUCAAAACAAAAAUGGAUGUGAGCAUCAAAAUGGCAAAUUUACCAAAAUUCCCAGAACUAUGAACAGCUCUUUCAAAGAUAUCAAAGUUCCCCGAAUUUGUGCUGGACAAGUCUCUGCUAUGUAAAGAGGAGCCCCAUGCAUUGCCUGUCAAACACAACUGAUUAGCAUGCUUGUCAAAUUUCAGGAUAUUAUUAGUCCUUUAGGAUUUUGGAAGGAUAGAGGUUGAAAACUCAAAGAAGCUUACUAGGCCUAUUCCAAGUCCAUAAACAAGCCGGGCAAGUAAGAGAACAGCCAGACCAGGGGCAUAGGCUGUUGAAGCACUGCCAAUUGCAUACAAAAUGGCUGCCAUGACGAGCUCCCUCCUCCUUCCUUCAGAAAUUAAAGUAAUAUAGACAGUUAAUAUGGUAGUUCUAGCAUAAUAGCCACAUAACAAGGCAAGAGCCAUACCAAGAAAAUCUGCCAGAGGAUAAACGAGGAGGGAACCAAGAAGAGCUCCGUAAAGGGAACCACUAACCUAAAAUCAAAAGAAAUGAAGAACAAGCAUUUACCCUCCAUGAAAUAAGAGUUAGAUAAUAUGAAGCAGAAUUGUCAUGAUUGCAAAGUCUACCACAAGGCCUAGUUGAACAGCCGAAAGGUUGAACCACGUCGUACCGCUAAGCUCAGGUGACUGCAAAAUGAUAGUGGAAAAGUAAAAAGAGUCUUCCAAAGUACAAUCGCCAUGACAGUUAGUAGUGUUUGGAACAAAAGAGGGACAGGAAAAUGUUUGUGAACAGCAGUAAGUUACCAGCAAGGAGAUUGUCGCACCAGACGUUGCGCCAAUGUCAUAGCCAAAUAAUAAACACACCAAGCUGGGAACAGAAACCUGGUAUAUGAUUUCAAAAGGUGACUGGGAUUAAUGCGGUUCAAAUUGGCAAGAAAAAUCAAGUUUCAGCAUUUUUACAAUAUUUAUGACGUGAAUUUGGGGGGAACAAAGGAUAUGUUUGUCCAAUACACCCAAUUAUCGUUAAUUUGCUGAACCAGUUACCAAAAUUUUAUCAGUGUGUGUAGAACUCCAGCUGCAUGAAAUAAGUCCUACCAACUCCAGCUUUAUACAAAUCCCACAAACAUACACCUCUAGACACUUAUGCCCUCCUAAAACAUGGAUUACAUUAUCCAGUACAUCAGAUAACUAUAUUGAAAACGAACUUAAUACUGCAAUGAAUCAGAUCUCAGAAUCGAGAAUAGCUGGGUUCAUAUAAAAAGUUGCGGGUUGAAAGACACGAAAGCAUUCGAUUGGUCAGAGGGUAGACCAUGUAAACGGGUUCAGUCAAUCAAUUAGCAAUCCUCGUCAAGAAUUGCAGCCAAAUAAUCGGACAAACAUGAAUCAGGAGGAAUGCAUUUUAUCCACGAGCAAUGCGUACGUAAUUGAGAACUGCCAAUUAACUAGUCACAAAUACGAAAUUUCAACAGUUAAAAUCUUCCAGAAGUAGAAAUCUGCAAACAAUUGACUUACGGUAAAAUAACUGAAGACCAGGAAAAUUCCUCUUGAUAGUUUGCUUCAGCGUCAAGAGACUCGCCUCCAUCCUCUGAAGCGGCUCGAACCUUCCGAUCCGUCAGUCAAAACCAAAGCAACAACCUUGAUCAGUAUUCAUUACAAUUCGCAAAGCCCCAGAAGUCUAAACAAGUACGACUUUAGAAUUGUACCACACCAGUUCUGAACUGUGAUCACGGUUCAACAAUUUUAUUGUAGUUCGAUGGUGGUUACCUUUGGUCUGCUUCUGCUGCCAGAGACAACAAAAAGAUGCUCCUUAACGUGGUACCAGAACUAAAAUACGGACCACCAGUACCAGCCAAAAAUGGACUGCAUUUGGAAGGUGGGCUUUGGCUGCUCCAUCGCCUGAAGAGAAGUUUGUGUGACCCUUGGAUGGAUUGAGGGAUGGUGGCCGAGGUUGCAAGUGUGAAAGGUUCAAGAACGGACAACUUCUUCAUUUUAAAAAAAAAUUGUGUUAGAAUUUUGUUGUCAACGUGAGAGUUGUAUUGAUGAAUAUUCUGUAGAUAUACAUAUAAGCCAUCUAUGAUUUCGGAGAUAUGCCCACUAAAGUCACCCAAAACUUUUUAUUACCCCAAAAAAAAAAAAAAUCAAACGUCUACAGACGGAGUGGAAGGUGAACAAGAUACUCUACCAGAUCCAAGUAUACAAGCCUUUACGGUGAAAAAAUGGAUUACUUGUAGCAAUUUUUUGUGGCGGCAUACGUACCGGUAGUACCGGCUAUUUGAUGUCUUUUGAGAACCCAAUCCGCCGUAAUGUCCAUUUUUGUUGUUGUUACCAGAAUGUUUUCAUGGGGCAAUUUUCGAGGAGAGAUAUCCCCUCGAACUUCAGGAUCUGCAUCAUGCGAUCAUGUUGUAACUGGCUCUGCUCACCGUUGACGUGCCUAGGAAUCUGGGCGUGGGGGCUAGUUCGUGGACAAUCCAACGGUGAAGAGAGCAGCACCACAGCAGCUCCCAGUUUGUGCAGUCGGUAAUUGUCCACGUCUUCCCGACACAGCUGUUUUCCAAAGUUAAAUAAUUCCAUUGGUCCACGAUGCCGCCUUUGGUAUCUUUUCACCAAUAACAUCUCCACUUUGUGUUUGCGCUUUUUAUCCCCAUUUGCAGCAAUGAAUGCAAUCAAGAGUCAAACGAUGAAAUGGAAGCUGGAGAAACCCGAAAACCGCUGCAGCCGCAAUUCGGUCAAUAGUAGAAAGAAUUUCCUAAAAUUGGGACCAAAAAAUGUACAGUAUACUCUUACACAAUUUAUGUUUGUAGCGGUAUUACCAAUCCUAUGGUGGUAGUCCUCUUAUUUGGAUUUGCUUGACAAAAUUGGAAUACUACAGAAUUUACACCUACAUUCGUAUGUAUAUGCAUUUAGGCAAUAAAUUAGAAAUCUAUAAAUGUAUGUAAGUGUACGUACAUUUCAGUGUUAAUUUACUUUAUUCUUACAGAGCCGAUAAAAAAAAAAAUCAACUUGGUCAUUUGAUACUCAGAAAAUAAAUUAGGGGUUGGGAUUUGGAUUCUUGAGAGUCUCUGAUUAGAAGAAAAUUCGUCAUCAUGAAUUGGUGGUAAUCAAAGACACUAAAUUUUGACAAAAAUAACCCAUACUUUUUUUUUUUUUGAUAAUAAAAAUAACACAUACUUGAUCUAACUAGCGUAUGAGUACCUUUCCAAAGCAAGGAAGGUUUUGGGUAAGGAUCGGAGAAGCGAGAGAGAGUGGAGCCCAAGUGGACGGAGAGCGAGUGAGAGAAUUGGAAGAAGAAGAUUUUCCCAAACAUCAGACAGCAAAUAAAGUAAGAGAGAUAGAUAUUUAGAGGAUCAAAAAUAUCUUAGCCAAGGCAUCCAGCGUGGCACCCCAUUUGGAAUCAGAUAUUGCACUUUUUCCUUCACUUUUUAGUAUUUCCCCAACUUAUUUAUUUCCCCCCAUUUUCCACCGCCCUCUUCUUCUCUUUCUCUUUAUUUCUCCUAAAAGUAUCUUCCCAUUUCCCCCCCCUGAGAGAAAAUAAAAUAAAUUACGUGCCGUUUUUUUUUUCUUUUUUUGGCUGAAUUCAGGCAUGGGCGAAGAAGUGAAAAUUAACGGUUACGAUAACGGCAGCGGCAGCGGCAGCGGUGAUGACGACAGAGUAUCCGAUUGGGAAGCCGGAUUACCUGGCAUCGAUGAUUUGACUCCCUUAUCUCAGGCGUUGAUUCCGCCGGAUCUUGCUUCGGCCUUCAGAAUCACCCCGGAACCUUCCCGGAGCAUGCUCGACGUCAACCGUGAGUCUCAGAAAAUUUUAGCCUCCCUCUGCGGCGGAGCCAGCGGCGGCAGUAGUCAUCACUCUCAAGCCUUAUCUUCGUCGAAUAAUUUCAAAUCAUUCCACGAUGGAACCACCAUCACCGGCAACCGGACCCACCGGGACAACAUGAUUAUUGAUAUUGACGAAACCACCGAUCUGACCCGAGAAGGCUCCGAUUCCAGGAAGACCCGAAGAUUAACGGAAUCCCCGACUGAAGAAGCUGAUUCCUCAGCUGCCGGGAAAAAUAGUUGUACUAAUAAUAAUGAGAAUUGCGGGGAGGAUGUUUCUGCCCGGACUUUGAAGAGGCCGAGGCUGGUGUGGACUCCGCAAUUGCACAAGCGGUUCGUCGACGUCGUGGCUCAUUUAGGGAUCAAAAAUGCUGUCCCAAAAACAAUUAUGCAGCUGAUGAACGUGGAAGGAUUAACGAGAGAAAAUGUUGCCAGUCAUUUGCAAAAAUAUCGCCUUUAUUUGAAGAGAAUGCAAGGUUUGUCGACGGAGGGCCCGUCCUCGUCGGAUCAUUUGUUCGCCUCGACGCCGGUGCCGCCGAGCUUGCAUGACUCUACCGGUGGUGGCAGCGGCGGAGCUGCAACCGGGCAUGGACAUGGACAUGGGAAUAGUAAUGGGCAUGUUGGUAUGCCGAUUCCGAUGCCUUAUCCGCCUCCGGCGGGGGCACAGAUGGUUUCGGUGCCGAUGAUGGGAAUGCCGGGGCCGACCCCGGGCGGUUAUCAUGGGUAUGAAUCUCAUCAUCAUCAUCACCACCAUCACCAUCAGUAUGGUAUGGUACAACAGCAGAGGGACUGGGCUGGGAAUAAAUUUGCGACUUUGGCGCCAUAUCAUCACCAUGUUGCUCCUAAUGAUAAAUAACUUUUUCAAGUCUUUUGAUGUGCCGAGGAGUAGUAGAAAGGAUAGGUGAGGUUCUUGUUUUCUGUAUUGCAGUCUCAUUUAACAUUAUUGGAGUUCUUCAUUUAUUUAUUCAUUUUUGUUUCUUAGUUUAGCUGAUACAAGUUGGUUUUGGGUGUAGGAUAGAGUGAGCUCUUUGGGAAUGUGACUAGGCGAAUUGCCAAUAGGAUUUUUUCCUUGGUAGAUUUUUUUUUAAAUUUGUUUCGUGGGUGAAUUAAUGGCAUUUUGAUCUUGUCAAGCUUCCUCUUCCUUCCUCAGUUUGGGUCCAUUAGCUCUAUCCUCAAUUUUAGAUCAUUCUCCAGUUCAAAUGUAGACAUUCUUCUUGGUGCAGAUGCAAUGAUCUUUCAGCGCCUGUUGGUUUUAUGCCCUCACAGCCUUAUCCAUGUUAGUCAUUGCAUGGUCACGUACAACUUCACGUUUGAUGCCAUCAGAACCAAAACGGGAUUCAUUUUCUUGUUAUAGUCUCCAAAAUGAUUAGACUAUUGCCUAUUAUUAUGCGUCAGAAUGCAAAACAAAUUAUGCUGCUCUGUGGUGCCUUGUUUGUGAACAAAUCUGUAAUGCCUGCAUGACAAGGAGCCACUGUUCUCAGUGAUUCUUGAAUUGCAAAUGUUGACACUUAUCAUAUGAGAAUAAUCUCAGUUACAGCUUGAACAUUCAUGCAACAACAGUGUAAAGAGUGACUUGUUUCUUAAGUGAAUGUAAAACUGCGUUUUAGACAACUAAACUCUUUGACUUGUCCUACUUUUUUUUGUAAGGUGCUGACUGCUGAGAGUAAAUCCAACCGGAAACAAUGUUUGAUUUUUGAUUAAUGUGAUUGAAUUUUGGAUUGAUGAGAAGAAAUUAAAUGUGGUUGCAAGGGGAUGCUCAUUCUAGAUACAGGAAAUGUGUAUAAUUGAAGUAUACAUCUUACACUUAAAUAAAGUGUACAUUCAUAUAUGCUUCCGACUCAAUAGUGCAAAUUUCUCAAUGAAUUUUAAUCACUGAAUUUCAACUUAUAUUGUAGCUUGAGCAUGGACCCUUCAGAUGUUGGUGAAGUUUCAAUGAAACCAUUGGAAACAGUUUCAGAUGUAACCAGUGACAUUCUGCACCCAUAUGUUAGCUAGGCAGCAGAAAGACUACGGCUCGAAAUCUAGUGGUGAUACAUUAAGUGGAAGUUGGUCUCAGGAUAAUAUCAUCUACCUGCUGCAACUUGUUAGUAUAUUCUUAGCCUGUUCAUUAUUGAUAAUAGUAUUUUCUUAUGUAUUAAUGACUGCUGAAUGUUCCUCUACAGCAACCAGAUCACAAAUAAAUAAUAGAAUUAGUCAAACAUUUGCCAGCAGCUCUUGCCCAUUGGUAUUCUAUGCCUAUCCUCCUUUAUCUACGUUUAUGUAUCAGGCCUUUUCUUUACAAAAAGAAUUAAAAAAAAGAAAAAGAAAAUUGUACAUGCAAGGGCGAAUAUUCUCAAGUUUUGACUAAUAGGACAUUACUUAAUUGAAAUGUUUUCCUUGACUAUAUUAAUUUGUAUUCGUUUCAGUUGGGCUAUAAAGGUGGACUGUUUUCAGUACAGCUAGGGAACAAUGAGAUACUGUCUACAUCACUAGGCUGUAGCGUAAUGCAUGGAUACAUGACUCUGAUUUCUUUCCCUGGAUGUGUUUAAACUUGUGCAUUUCGGCAAGUGAAGUGAACUAAAGCCAUAUAGCUGCAGCUUGCAAUAUAUGUGUUGUUUUGCAAUCAUCUUCUUGAUUUAUAUUGUUUCUUUUAAAGAGCUGGAGAUCAGUGCAGAUUUUCCCAAAUGUUGGAUUUUCUGUGUUAUAGUCAUCAUGUAAUAAUCAUUUUUCUGUUCUAGUUUUGCAACUCUAAUUUUUGCCUAUCCCUACUACCAUCCCAAAAAAAUGAAAUUACUUAAAUAGCUUCUGAUCAACACAUGCUGGAUAUAUUGUUUGCUGUUGAUUGGUGAACUUUAAUGAGACAGUUGCAGCCCGUUUACUGCUUAUUGCACUGGCACUCGACAAAGGGACUUGUUUCUGGAUAUAGUUGAGUAGAUACUAGAUAGGGAAAGCCUACUCAGCAACCAGCCUUGGAUUGGCCAUGCCCUGUGUCUUUUUUUUUUCCCCUCUAAUCGAUCCCAGUGGAUAUAUUAAAAUUUGUUUGCAUGUUUGGUUUCCACAUCUAAAAUUGUGUUUGUAUUUUUCCUAAGUGACUUGUUUGGACUUGGAAAUGGAUCACUUUCACAACUGUGUUCGAGUUUAAGAAUUUACUAAUUCUCCUCUUUAAGAGUUGCAUAGGAUUCGAUUUGGGUUGUAAAAGUGUAGAAAACUACGAAGAGAAAAUUUCUUAUAUGUCAAGUAUGUAGCCUGAUUCCUAGCUUAAAAUUGGUUAAUUGUUGACUUUAUACUGUUAAUAUGGUACAUGAUCGACACUAACAAUUUCACAGACAAUUGACUGAACGAUAAAACUGAUUUAUGUUUAACUAAAUUUAUUACGAGAUCAUCGUCUUAGAUGAACUUAAACAUCAAUUUCACUAUUUUUUUCUUCCGAAACGAUAGAAGCUUUUAUUACUCAAAAGGGUAACCAUACAUAAUCAUCAACUUCACUAUGACAAAUUUCUAAAGCUAGAAAUUGGCCGCUCAGGAAUCAACUCACUUGUUGCAACCACGGUUUAACGUCUCAUACCACCUCUAUCCAACUACAGCCAGGAAAUUUUUUCAGUUUCUUUUUCUUCAUUAUCCUCUUCAGCCUCGUAGCUUUUCCCCACCUACUGGAAGCAGAAUAUAGAUUUGACAACAAAACACUACUUCCUCGACUCUCAGGCUCAAGUUUAACCAGCUGAUCUGCCGCAAUUUCUGCUAGAUCGACAUUGCCAUGCUGUCUACAUGCACCUAAUAAUGCUCCCCACACAAAUAAGUCAGGCUCCACUGGCAUCCUCUGAAUGAAACCAUAGGCCUCGGCAAGCUUCCCUGCCUUUCCAAGAAGAUCAACCACGCAAGCAUAAUGCUCUAAUCUUGGCUCAAUCCCAUACUUUUCUUGCAUCAAUUGGAAUAGGCUCUCUCCAAGUGGUACCUUCCCUGCAUGACUACAAGCUGUCAGAGCAGCAGUAAAAGUCAAGUGAUUCAGCUCUCUUUCUUCCUCUCUUAGCAUUUUGUUGAAUAGUUCAAUUGCUUUGUCAGAAUGUCCGUGAUUUGCAUAACCAAAAAUCAUGGAAUUCCAAGUAACUGUAUUCCUUUCAGGCAUGUUGUCAAACAACCCCCUUGCUUCAUUGAUAUACCCGCAUUUGGCGUACAUGUCGAUGAGAGCACUCCUGACAAAGAUAUCCUUCUCCAUUUCCAUCACGAUUGCAUAGCCAUGUAUUUCCUUUCCAUGUUUUAUAUCUGCUGCAGUUGCACAAGCAGGCAAGAGACCACUGAUUGUAGCUGUACUCGGACGCGUCCCAGCAUCCAACAUCCAUUUAAAUGUAUCAAAAGCCUCUUUGUUACAAAAGUUCUGCACAAAACCAGAAAUUACAGAAGUCCAGGACACCAUAUCAGGCUCAAUCCCAUCUUUGCGCAUCUGUCUGAACGUUUCCCAAACCAUCACUUCAUCAUUUUCUUGCGAAAAUCCAGCAAUAAUUGUAUUCCAUGUGAUCACAUUGGUCUUCAUUCCUAGUAACUUCAUUUCUUGAACCAAAACCAAUGCCUGCUUAACAAUCCCAUGUUGAACAUAUCCAGAAACCAUAGCAUUCAGAGCCACUAAAUCUUUAUCCGCCAUCCUGUCAAACACCCUUUUUGCACUCUUGAUGUUCACACAUUUCGAAUACAUAUCAAUCAGCGCACUGAUCACAAAAGCAUCAGACUCAAAAUCAUAUUUCACCACCAAAGCAUGUACUGUUUCACCAGUUCGCAUAUCGGAGAGUUGCCCACAAGCUUUUAGUGCACUAGGAAUGACAAACUCACUGAGCUUUCGUCCUUCCUUUUGCAUUUCAGAGAAAACAUGCAUUGCCUCCUGAUACAACCCAUUGCGAGCAUAGGCCCCAAUUAGAGCAACCCAACGUCGAACAUUUGACUUGGGAAUUUCAUCGAACAGCUUCUGAGCAUGGGAUAACUGUUUGCACUCAGUAUAAAAGGCUAUGAGCUUAGAAGCGAAGUGGGGUUUACAAGCCAACCCGUUGAUAAUCAGGUGAGCGUGUAAAGCUCUACCAGAUUGCAGGGCUCGAUCUCGACCGACCAAAUUUCUCAAUGAUUUUUGUGUAGCUAUUGGAUGAGGAGUGAAAGGGACGGAAACUUAAAAGAAAUUUCUGCAGAGGGCUCCAUCUGGGAACGAUUGUUGUACUAAGAUCAGCCCUCCUAAACAUGUGAAUAUCUACAUUGGUUUAGGCAAGAUCAAUGUUGACACAUAUACAGAAGCUCUUCAAAAUUCAAAUCCACAUCCCCGGUUAUACGUAGGGUAGAAAUCUCCGAACUUGAUCUAAAAUUAACAAAGCAGUUUAAUGUUUUAAACCUUAAUUGUGACAAAAUAUAUGAGCACUUGGCUGCAUUAGAUGAAAGUGGUAAUCGAAAAUUGUACCUCUUUUUUCUUUCGUGAAAUGGUAUGCUGAAACGAAAGCUCUUUCUUCCAAGAGCUGAGAGUUAUUGAUGGAUAGAAAAUUGCGCUGGGAAUAAAAGAACAAGGAAAAAAGAAACGAAACGCCGUUCAAAGAGGUAAGACCAUGUAAGCUACAAACUUGAAUCUAGUUUAUCACCAGGGAAAUGCUUCAUGACUAUUAUCAAUUCAAAUAAAUGCAUGCAUACAUACAUAAUAACAAUUGUACUACAUGCUAAUUUAAAGGGAAAAUCUACCAAGAGUUCUACAGAGGUACAAUUAUGAUCCCUCACAGGAAAAAAAAAAAAGUAAAGGGAUGAUUUUGACAAGUCUUUCUUGAAAACUACCAUCCCUAUGCUUGAAAAUACUUCCAAAAGCAAGCAUUACGAGAUUGUACAGCAUGUUCAAGAAAGAAUCCUAGUUGCUGCUUUCUACAUUUUGGUAAAAUUGGUUGAGACAUGCUCUCAUCUUAGCUACAUGGCGUCAUUGAUAAGUAGUGGACAAUUCUCCAUUGCAUUCUGAUUGCAUUGGAGUCUCAAGUCCCUCUGAAAGUAGACUGACAUCCAUUUUGAACUCCUCUGAUCAAUUCAAUGAAAUUCGUUUAGUAGACUCCUGCAAAUGCAGUACGAUACACCUUGCAGCAUGGUCAGAUUAAAGAAUUUUACUUCUAGUUCACAAAGGGGUCACUAACUUAAGAUGGGUUAUCCACAUCUUAGUUAGCGUCACCAGAAAUCCCCACAAGAACAGCAACCCUGCUUGAAGUGAUGAAACCUGUAAUUAUCCCUUAGUAAUAUUUCAUGUUUAGUAAUCUUUGAUAUGUGCUUCAUUGUUGUGUGGCAAUCUGAGCAGACUCGAAUGUUCUUGAAAAUACGAAUAGGGGUUCCAGCAGGCAAAUUUAAUAAGCCAAAGCAAACUGCAAGCUUCUCACUAUGAUACAAAAGCUUCCCUUCAUUACAUAGUCCUAGUUCUGUAUGAGGUGUAGAUAUCUCACUCAAAGUCGAAGCAUGAUUGACUACCCUGAUAUCAUUAAUGAGCUUCUCUAACAGGUCAUAUACUUCUGGAGUUUGAGGGUGAGUUGUAUCUCCUGAAAAGAACUUGUACGUUUUAUUUUUAACCUCAAUCCAGCUAUAACCUGGUUCCUUCUUAACCUCCUUCAGUUUCAUUAGUUCUCUUUGCUUAACCAAUUCACCUAAUCUUCCUACAUCAAAGUACAUGUUUGACAAGGUGACAUGAACUGAUGCAUCAUCUGGUUCUAAUUCUAGGAUACGAUUGGCAACAUAUUCCCCCAGUUGAAGGUCACAGUGACAUCUGCAACCCGCGAGCAAUGGUCUCCAUAUUGGAGCAGUGGGCUUGAUUGGCAAUCUUUUUAUGAAAUCUAGAGCAUCCUCCAGAUGUCCUGAUCUGCUAAACAAGUCUACCAUGCAGCAAUAAUGUGUUUCCUCAGGUAUAACACUGUAGUUCAUCAACAUGGAUUUGAAAAAUUCUUUGCCUUCUUGAACUAAUCCGCAGUGGCUACAAGCAGAAAGAACUGCAAGAAAAGUAGAACCACUUGGCUUUACACCCUCCACAACCAUCUUUUUAAACAAAGAUACAGCCUUCUCAAAGUAUCCAUGCUGUGAGUAAGCUUUGACCAAGCAAUUCCAUGACACAAUAUCCGGCAUUGAUAUCUGGUCAAAUACCUUUUCAGCAUCAUCUAAACUGCCACAUUUUCCAUACGCUUCAAUUAACGAGCUUGCAACAUGUAAGUUUCUUUCAGAGCUGGCUUUAAUCACCCAACAAUGAAUUUGCCUGCUUGUGGAAAGGGAUGGAAAAGAAGAACAAGCUUUCAGGGCAUUUGAAAAGGUGUACUCAUCAAUUGGUACGUAAUUUAGAACCAUUUUAUGAAAAGCCUUCAAUGCUGCUUCUAUGUUAUUAUUGUGAACAAACCCUGCAAUUAGUGCAUUCCAUGAUACAGCGGAUGCAAUUGUACCCAUCUCCUGAAGCUGUUUUUCAGCAUUAUCCAUUUGCCCAAGCUCUGUAUACAUGUCUACGAUUGCAGUGCCAACAAAAGCUCCGGAAGCCAUGCCCUUUUUAACUAGUUGAGCAUGAAGUGCAUAACCAUUGUCAAACUGCUUUAUACCUCCACAAGAAGAUAAGGCCAUGGUCAAUGUAUAUUCAUUUGGUUCAAAUCCAUGUUGUCUCAUCAAGUAGAACUGCAGCAGGGCCUUCUCCAAUGCUCUUUGCUGGUAAAGUCCAGAUAUAAUGGCAGUCCAAGAUACAACAUUCUUCUUAGGAAGACUUUGAAACAAACUUUGAGCAUUCUCCAUCAUCCCAAACUUGCAAUACAUUGUCAAAAGAGAAUUAGCAACAACUCCAUUAACUACAUGCUGCAGCUUCACUACAUGUGCAUGGAGCUGAAUCCCUUCAUUGAUAGCAAAAACACUCCCACAACCAGAUAUCAUGAUCGAAAAUGUGUAGUGAUUCGGCCUUAUUUCCCAAACUCCCAUCUGUGCAAAGAAGCCUAAAGCUUCAUCAAACAUUUCAUUGCUCAGAAACCCAGAAAUCAAGCAAUUAUAUGAAGCUACAUCAAUGGAAAGCAUCCCAUCAAAAACCUUCACUGCACUACCAAUUUCGCCACACUUGGCAUACAUAUUAACAAGAGCUGUAUCCACAAUCUUGUCACCACAAAACCCUGUCUUUAUCACCAAAGCAUGAAAUAUCUUGCCAACUCCUAAAUUUCCUUCCCUACUGCAAUAACUCAGUUGAUCUACAAUAUUUUUCUUAUCCGUCAAAUUCCAUUCCCAACAAAGCAAACCAGGCAUUGCAUUUACUCCCUGCUCUUUACAUGCAUCGUAAAUGAUUCCACCAAUUAGUUCAAAGUCGGUGUCUUCUAUUACACCCAUUUCACUUCCAUUUACAGGACGAGUCAUACCGGAACCCGAGACAGAAACAUUAAUCCUUUGAGCGAUUUUGUCAAGCAACUUAAAGUCAUUCCUGAACCUGAGAUGCUCAAUUCCAAAUUUCUUAAUCCUUUGAGGCUCAAGAGGCUCUUUUUUGUUGCAAGCAAAAGAACAUAAAGGUGAACAUAUUCCAUAUAGUCAAUAUUUUUGGCAUAAGUCAUCAUACAUGAUCUGAAAAAAAAAAAAAAGGAAGCUAUGACUUUUUAACACCAUGUUAUGAGGUAUUUUUAAAACAUUGAUAUUUUUAAAUAUCAAUGUGGCAUUUGGCUGAUUCAAACGAGUUUCUUGGUUGAUAAUUUGAUUGGUCUAAGUUUUACAGUACGUUUUUUCCUUUUUUGAUUCUCAAAAGCUAUGCUAAAUCAUAAACUAAAAAGAAUCAUAAUUCUCAAAAGAUACUAAUUAAUAGUUAAUUACCACUUUUUAAAAUAUUUUUUAGCAAGAAAUGGGUGAGAUUUAAAAAAUUGAAAUGUAGCACAAGAAUUAGAAUCCAGAACCUUACACGUCUCAAUUUUAGCCAUUAAAUCAGAAUCUUCUUGACAGUCAAUUACCACGAUAGUUUGCCAAAAAGUGUAGCAGUGUAUGUAUUAAUGUGUAAGUUUUUUCCCAUGUCUCGUGUUGGUGUUUUAUUCAUAGCCUGAAGCAACGUUAACAACAAUUAAGAGCGGUAUCUCGUUAUCAUGCUUUUUUGGAGAUGUUUUAAAAUAUUUAUCAUGUAUAAAAAUUAAAUUUUUGAUACGACAAAUAAAUUGAUAUAUAUAUAUAUAUAUAUAUAUAUAUAUAUAUAUAUUUUUUCAUCUUUGUCGACUUCUGGUGGUUAAAAAUAGGUAACAAUUUGUCAACCGGGGGAUUUAAGGGCCGCACCACAAAAGGGAUAGAUGCCGUCCCAUCCACAAGCGUUCUCCUCUCCCCUUGAAGGAGGAGAAAAUCACCGGAAACUACUGGCUGUAGUUAUGAAUACAAGUUCAAGAACAUGCAUGGAUUUGCUCCGUCUCUGACACCCUUUAGAAACUUCCUAGCUGUAAAACCAUUAUUGUUCUCUGAAGCUCAAUCCAAGUUUUUGGUACCGGAUUGCAGCAAGUUUAUUGUGAUAAAGCAACCGGGUUUUUCUCACACUUUGAGCUGCAGAAACUACUACUGCUAUGGAGAGAGGAGAAAUAAGAGGUGCGCUAGUGUGAGGGCGAGUCGAAGAGAGUCUCCACACGAAGUUUUAGGAGUGUCUCCUUCUGCAACUCCCAAUGAUAUCAAAAGGGCCUAUCGCAAGCUCGCUCUCAAGUAUCAUCCCGAUGUCAAUAAGGAGGUGUGCUUCAUUAAUCUUGGUCAUUAUAUUUAUGGGAUUUAUUAGUGUUUUCUGGUAUUUUCUCCUGCUGAUCUAUAGUCUGUGUUCCUGUGAUCUUUGUCCACUUAGUUGAAAUUGUCACACAUCUCAAACCUAAUUUACUGUUACUAUGCAAGAUUAACAUCAAUAUGUUUAGAAAAGUGAUGAUUUUUGAGCACUCGUCCAAGGAAAUACGUAUAGACUGAUUUAAAUUUUGAUUUCCUGGUUCAAAGUUUGGUUUCCUCGAGUAGGAACGUGAGCGGGUACAAAUAAUGCUGCCUCGACGAACUUUGUCAACCAAAGUCGGAAAAUUUUAAUACUAGCCUUUACUCCAGCUAGCUAGAUCUUAAAAGACUUUCCUUGGGACAUAUAAUAAUAUCCUCUGUUAUUUUUGUCUGAAGACUUCACUCGGUUCGCUGGUGUAUAUAAACCAUUUCGAGAAAUAUGGCCAAUUAAUAAAAUUGGAACUGUAUACAAUGUUGCCUUGUGAGCUCUUUGAGAAUUGAAAGCUGCAUCUUGGGUGGUUAAUGGUAAGGAUACGUUGGAGAAAUUCCUAGAAAUUGUGCUGUUAUUCUUUGUAUUUCCUCUUCCUUUCUUGCAUUCUUCUUUUAAUCUCCUUAAGAAUCUUUUGCCUUGCAUUUUGGGUGCCGCAUCAGCACUCAAUUGUCCUUGUUAAGGUAUUGAUAAUCUUUUAGUAAAUAUUAGAGACGAUUGACUGAUGCUGGAAUUUUCAUGCUCUCUCCGCUUUCUUCACCCUCUUAUUAUAGUGCACAAUUACCCUUGUCUCUCUUCCAAAUUGCACGUCUCCUUGGCUAAUGUCCAUCAGAAACCAAUUGUCUAGUUCCUUUCUGCUAGCUUCUCAACAGGGCCGAAGCAUCUAAUUGCUAGCAGGCACUGCCACGUUUACCUUUUGGUGUACUUGUUGUGGGGCUUUAACUCAAGGCCAGUAGUAAGUUUGCAGAAAGGAAGAGAGAGAGAGAGGGAUGGGGAGAGGAGGGAGGGAAGUGGAGGUGAGUAUGAGGGUGAAAGUGGAAUGCAUAUAGUGGUGGCAAAAGGAGGACUUCUGAUGGGUCAAAUAUCAUGGAAGUGGUUCAAUCCAUAUUUGAGCUUGUCUCAUUAUACCUUCUGGCAGAGGACAUUAACUUUAUUUUGCAUUUGAGACAAUGAACAGACAGAGUCUCAGAAGAUGGUUUUUCCAUGUCUAAAGGAUUUAACAUAUUUGAGCUCAUCUCAUUAUACCUUGUGGCAGAGGACAUUAGCUUUAUUUUGCAUUUGAGACAAUGAACAGACAGAGUCUCAGAAGAUGGUUUUCCAUGUCUAAAGGAUUUAACUAUGUUUAUUAAACUGCCAGUAAUGACAUCAAGCAAAUAUUGUUACUUGGGACUCUAUUCUAACUUCAAGGGCUUGUCUUUUGAUAACAUCCAUCAUCCCUCUACUGUCAAGCUCAUUUCAUUAAUGCUGUUAAGAACAAAAGGAGUAUCAUUUAAUUCGGUUAUUUAUUCAAUCAUGACUACUAGCAUGAUUGUCUAUCGAGCUGAUUUAUAUGAUGAUUGCAAAUUUUCAAGGCUAUUCGCAAAUAAGCAUCUCAUACAACACUAGAAUGUCACGUUCGGACAAGAAUUGACAUGUUAAUAGAAGAGUCCUGGCUCAUUUUAUUACCUUAUUGCCUUUCUAAGUACAUGUUUUUUUCCUACUUUUUCUAACAUCUUUUAAGCACUCUAUACAGAAAAGAUGCUUCUCGUUCCAUUUUGGUUCUGUAUACUGUGACAAUUGUCAAAUGGUGGACUCCAUUGGAGUGAAAAUAUUUGAAAGUGUAAAUCGCGUUCUCAAUCAGCCACAAGCGGUAGUUUGCUGUUAUUCUGGAAUAUGGAUUAACAACAUAAUGUAAAUGGAACAAGGGGUAAAUAUUGUCUGCUUAAAAUCUUUGAAGAGCAAAGAAUUUGUAAAUCCAGGCUAUUUUGUGUAAUUCACUCAAAGGGAUUUCAGUUGUGUUAACCUUGAAAUAUGAGUUCAUGUAUCAGACAUACAUUAUUGGUUCACCUCCAACUCUUUGUACCCAUUACAACCUCUGAUUCUUUCUCCGUUUAAUAUCUGCAGGCGAAUGCACAAGAAAGAUUCAUGCGGAUUAAGCAUGCGUACAAUACAUUGCUAAAUAAAUCUGACAGAAGAUUUGAUAAGGGAAACCGUGGAUCUGAAUCUUCUUAUUCCACAGCUGGUAGAAAUGAUAAUUGGACUGUGAACAAUGAUGAAGAGUUUUAUGGAUUUGGUAAAAUCUACCUGCUCUUGGAAAUCUUAUGCUGUUUGACUAAUGAGAUUAUUGGUUUCUGUGCUGCAUUUAUGUGUUACUUUUGUUUUCUGUUUGCUUUUACUCUGAACAACCUUAAGUUGUGAGAAAUGUCUUAGAAGGUCAGUUAGCUACCCUGGCUUUGUCCUGUCCUCCUUUUUUUCCCACUGGUACGAACUUGACAUUUCAUCCAAAACGAGUCACAGCUUGUCUUGCCCUAACAACUUGUACAAAUUGAUGUUAUUGUAAUUGUUCUUUAUGCAAUUUUCAGUUCUAGCUUUUCAUUUCUAUUUUGCAAGGCAUUGCAUGAACACAGAGCGCAUCUAAUGCUUUAGAGUAUGACAUUCUCUCCCAUCUAUUCUCAUGUUUAACCCCUUCAUGCUGCAGGUAACUUUUUGAGGGAUGUCCAAAUAUCCAUAGGUAGAUAUGUGCACUUUGCAUGACAAUGAGAGCCCUGAUACCACCUUGCAUUAUCUUUCUUAAAAAUGCUUUUCAUCUCUGUCUUGAAGUUAAUAUGCACAUGGUUUUGACGUUUAGAUGUUUUGUUGCAGAGGACUUCUUUAAGGAUCUUCAAGAAGAAUUUCGGAACUGGGAGGCUGGUGCUGAUUCGCAAGGAAAGCCAAAGAGCUUGUGGGAGGAAUUGGCGGUAAGAGAUUUUCUGCGCUUGAAGUAGACUGAGUAGAAAUUCAUUAGAAAGAGGGAGGUGCUUGCUGGGUAAAAGCACUAUUGGUUCUCUUAUGUUAUUUCUUUGUUCUUUUGAGCCUGGGGGUUGAAGCAUGUUGAUUAUAUCCUUCCAUUGGCCAAUUUUUUAUUUGCUUUUUUUUUUUUUAACUGAAAGCACCAAUGAUAUGAUCAAGGUGGCGGUUGCAGCUUGUCACUAAUUUGAUUGUCUGCAGGAAAUUGGAGAAGAAUUUGUUGAGUUUUUGGAGAAAGAGCUGAACAUUUCUGACGUUGAAGCGGAACAAACCAAGGGUAACCAGCAGCAACGGGGUAAUGCAUCCUACGGAUCAAAGGAAACAGGAAAUGUAAACCAAAAUGAUGCAGGCAACAGUGGGAUCGAGGAAAAUAUCAAUGAUAUCGAGGCAGCCCUUGCGCAGUUGAAGAAGGAACUGGGUCUUUAAGGAUUCUACGCUCAAAAAGAUUUAGGAAUGAGGACUAAAACUUGUUGCUUUUGGAAUGGGAUUUUGAGGAAUCGGGUUGUGAUUUUGGUAUAAUUUUCUGGUUGGAUGAACCCAAACAGCUUCCGGCUAACGCUGCCUAAUCUGCGACAGGAUGUUUUACGUCAAAGUUGAAUUUUUUUUCACCCGUACUAUCUGAAAUUCAUGGUGGCCGUCUCGCCAGAUUCCAAGUGUACAAGAAUUGUGUAAAUCUGGCCAUGAUUGUGAAUCAAAGAGAGAGAAAGUGUAACUGAUAAAAAGAAAGAUGUGUGGAUAAAUUAAUUGUACAAUUUCACAUCUCCUGUUUCUGUUGUGCCAAAAUAAUUCAUCUUUUAGGGGUAAUUUCAGAAACCUUGGCACUCGAACUUUGAAAAAUCUCACUUAUGUUGCCUCUCUUACUUUAAGCUUUUUUGUUUCAUUUGCAGUCCAUUUUAAUAAAUAAUAUUAACAAAUUUAUUUGAAAGAGUAAAUAUAAUCUCAUUUCAAUAUUGCCCCUUGUUAUCUUAUUUUUUAUUACAAAAACGUGAGUAUAUUAAUAAAAAAUAACAAUAAAAAUAAAAAGUGUGAAGUUUUAUUUUGAUUGGAUAAAAUGUAAUACAUUUUUAAAUACCAAGAGUUAAUAUAUGAAAAUUUAUUUGAAAUUUUUGCAAGUUACAAAGAUAAUAUUUUCUUUAUUGCAAUAAUGUGUUUUGAGUUAAUUUAAGUUUUAUAAAUCAAUUGCAUUUUUUUGUCCAAAUCGAUAGCUUGAAAGUUGAAAAGAUAUAACAUGCUAAAAAUUAUAUAAAAACUUAUCUCUAUCGUUUUUAAGCCAAUGCAAAAAGGAAUUAUCAUAAUUGUAAAUUAUUACAAGUUAUUUUUAAAAGUAUUGUAAACUAUUCACAAUUUUAAGUAAUUUAACAUUUCUUAUCUGAACCAAUGACUUAAAAGAGUUUUUUGAUCUUGUUAUCAAUCUUUAAACUUUUAUUAAAAAAAAAAACCCAUCAAUCAAUUUUCAAAAAUUAAGAGAUAAAUUUGAUGUGCCAUGACAAUUAACAAAUAACAAGAAAAGGGCAAAUUUGAAUGAAUUUAUCUUUUCCAUUCCAAAAUGAAUUUUUUUAAUAUUAUACUUUGAAAUCGGUUUCAAAUGUUACAAAAAGUUUAUUAGGAAAGUGCAAUUUUUCAAAGUUUAAGGGUACUGAGUGGACCUGUUAAAAACGUCAAGGGAGGUUUCUGAAAUCAUCCCAAUCUUUCAUCCAACUGCUUUUCUCUAUUUUCUUUCCACUUGUUUCUGUGAGUUCGAAAGAAAUCGGAGCCUGUUCGGCUUAUUGUCAAGUUGGCUGCACUGUGAAAGAGCAUAUUGAUAACCAAUGGUAAUCAUCUUGCACGGAGAGAUGUGUGCGGAAGUAAAAACAACUUGCAACGCAUAUAUUAAGGCACAAACUCACAUCCUCAACUGUCAAUGAAUCCUCAAAAGUUAAAAUAGUACUACAAUACUUGCAUUUGUCUAAUAUACUGUCUCUGCUGAAUUUUCCCAGUUGCAGAAACCAGUCUAACUGGAUAGCCAAAGUCCUAUGCAGCUCAAACCCAAAAUUUGUAAAUUCCGACGCAGCAAUAUGUGUGUCAGUGAGAACCAGAACCGAAAUGUCUCAGAAUCUCUCACCAAACCGGAAGAACAAGGCUCCAGUUCCAGAGUUAUGAUCAACUGCAUAUUCUGCUCGUACUAAACCUAGCUUAACUCCAACACCAUAAGAGGAACCAUGACCCAUCCGCCGAUAAACCUCUGUUGGAUUUCCUUUCACAUCCUUUGAACUUCCAAGAUCAUUUCCGUGUUCUGCAAAUGCAUAAACAUGUGUAUUCCUCACAGGUACCCGUAGCUCAGCAGCGAACUGCGAAUACCAAAUAAAUUAGUCAGAUGAUGAGCCAAAAAUGUGGACGAGGGCUGAGAAUUUUUGGCAUCAAAAGAUGCUUAAUCAAACCCAUCCAUGUUUUCAUAAAAGUUUCUUCCUCCAAUCAUAAAUGGAAAACGUCUGAUAAAAGGCAAAAUGUAGCUUCUCUCAAUACCAUACACAAACCUCAAGAAUAUUUCGAGCGGCGCCUAUCUCUCCCAUGUUGUAACCCCUUACUGAAUAAGGUCCACCAAGCGUAAAAGCAUCGUAACUUGGCAGAUCGCCUACACAACCACCAUAAUGGCCAUGCAGAACUAAGACAGGCGGUGGUGGCCUACCAGCACCUUCUUCCACUUCCUUUAACUGGAUAAAUCGUGUUAAUGUCAACUGGUGACGGUUAAAGAAUGGGAACUUACUGCCGAUACCAAGUCCUUGGUCAAGCUACAAUUAACAGAUAACAGUGUGCAUCUCAGUGAAUCAAGAAUGUGUUUUAUCCAUACAUCAUCAAAAGCUGAAAGACCAGAGUUAUAAAAAAUUCAUCCUCUGAUAUUCCCAACAAAGAUUGCAAAACAACAUUCAGCUUAAACAACCGGAUUUAACUUCAGGAUAAACUUCUUGAGUAUUCAGAUGUAUGAUAUUGGUCAUCAAAACAAAAGCAGCAAGAUUUAUUUUCCCCAGCUAUGGAUAGGCUAGGCAUUAAACAGAAUGUGACAUCUUAAAGGAGAAACUAUCAGAAAACUAAUUGCUUACCCCCCCCCCCCCCCCAAAAAAAAAAAAACUAUAAAGAAACUGAUUAAUUCACUACAAGCAACUUCCACCAUGCACAACUAGAAAGCAACAAUGUAUCAAUCUCACCAGCAUAAACGAGGCAUUUUAUAGACCACAAAAAACCGGGGUACCCUUCUGUUUCAUUUGGGUAGAGGGGCAGGAGGAGUAACAAACAAUCGGUUACAACCCAAACCAUUUGAGAGUCAGUUGACCAUACAAUUAGUCUGGUCAAUCAGAUAGUAUAGAAAGCGAAUCUCAAACAUAAAGAUAAAACUCACCUGGAAUACAUUCCUUUCCCCAACUAUUGCCCCAUUCAUGAACUUGGUAUUAUCCCGUGUUAUAUUAGCUUGUACAAAUGCCAUGCGGUCAAUGCCAGUUCCACUUAAUGUUGUUGGAGGUCCAUCUGCACUAAUUCCUCCAUUAGGAAGGACCCUUUGACCGUGAGAAGAGAUGUGACUGGCUUCAUCACGUGUUGUAAUCUCUUCGAAAACAAGACCAUAGGUGAAUUUGCUCUGGCGAGUGAAGUUCUGGAAGAAAUAUAUCUGUUAGUUACUUAAUAAAGGAGAAUACCACCAAAAUACUAUCUCGUUCAAUUUCCUCUUGUUCGGUGGAGGACCAGCAUUAAACUAUUGCUUUAUAAGUUAAACCAACAAGCGACAAUAAUGUUUGAGAAACAGCUCACACAAAUGUGACAAUAAUUGGUGCAACUAAGAGCAACUCACAAAGCACAGCAGAAUGCUACAAAAGUCCAGAUAAUUCAUUACAAACAGUCCAAGAAACUCAAUGCAUAAUUAAAAAGUCCACUGGUCUACCUCAGUAAGGUUGGCCUUAACUCCAGCUCGAUCAACCCAUAUAGGUGGGACUUCAUCUAUGCCUGGCCCACCUGUGAAGACUGGGCUCAACUUUCUGCUGUUGAAGCAGCUAGCACGGAAAGUACGGUUACGAGGGUUAUAUACACCAUCAAAGUAUGGAUGAACGUACUCGAGCUUGAAAGCCAGAUCAUCCUGCAAAACAACAUUGGAUCAAUGUUACACAAUAAAGAAUUGCCAAUAUAUAAAAAUAAAUCUCCACAAUGAAGCUCCUUAGCUGUACGGUCACCUGAGGAUUUAGUAAGUUGCUUGUGUUGACUGAACCAAGAAGUGAUCUAUUUAGGCCUUUGAUAUUCCUAUGUUCAAAAGAUACUGUUCCACCAGGCUGGAUUGAAGCCUGAACAAAAUACACAGAUGAAAUGGCGGUUAUUAAGAAUGCUUAUGUUGCUAGUGAAGCAUUCAAACUGAAAGCUACAUAUGAACUACUUAAAAUAAGUACCAACGUAGGACGACCUCCCCGUCCAGGAACUAUGCUCCAUUCUGUGCUAACUUCAGCUGAUGCCUGCUCUAAUUCCUUUAAUUUGAUUUCGACAAUGAUCCCUCCCUCGUUCUUCUCAUCAGGACGUGGAUUAACCUCAAUAUUGGAGAAUAGGCCUAAAGAAUUGAUAUUCCUCAAUGCUUGUUUUCCAGCUUCAAUAUUAAACACUUGCCCCUUCUGUAGCUGAAAAACCAAUUCAAGCACCACCCCUCAACAUCCAUUUAAACACAACACAAUCCCCAGAUUUUAAUUGAAAAGUCUGGGGUAAACUUCCAAAUCCUGAAUAACAUUCAUAUAUGACUUAAUAAUCAAUGCUUUAAAAUCAACAAAUCAAAUGCAUCAUUAACAACUACAGACAUCUUGUUCGCUUUUAGCUUGCAAAUACAAAAAACAAGAAAAAGGUUAAUGCAACGAAAGUUCACCACAAUCACGAACAUACAAGCUGUUGAUAAAGAGUAAAACCAUAAUCUGCACAAUCAGGGGAAUGCAUUGAUUACCUGCCGGGGCAAAUCCCUUCUGACGACAGCCAGCUGAGUAUUUCCUUCGCAGACAUUGCCCAACUUAUCCUGAAACUGAAUGACCAACUGCGUGAUAUCUCCUUCCACCACCUCACAAACCACCUCCCUGGUAUUCAAAUUUCCAAAAUUUACUACUUGGGCGCAGGCAUAGCCAUUCUCAUGGUACCAUUGCUGCACGCGAUCCCUAAUCUUCUGCAGGAGCCUCGCGCUCACAGCACCUUUCUCCCUCAACAACUGUAAGAUCUCCCUUUGCACCGGCGUUGGCAACAAACAGGGCCUCGCCUUUUGCAUCCUCCUCCUAUAAUCUUGCUCUUGACUCCUGUAGAAUUCUAUCCUCUCCUUCUCAGUCAUAUCCGGGUCCAUUUCAAUCGGCUUCGACUGCUGCAUUAACCCCACAUUUAUGCACCUAAACCUAUCCGCAGAUUGCCAAGUACUCUCCAAGAAUGAUAUAGUGAGCCCAAUUGUUCCAUCCGGAUUUGUUUUGGCAUCCAAGUCAACUUUUUCGAACAUCCCACAGCCCGCAAGAGUUUCAAGCUCUUUUUGGAGCUGGGCUUUCGUGUAGACCCCACCCGGGCGAAUGGUAACCAUUUCAAAGAAGGAAUCCUCCGUCCCUUCUGUAGUUGACCCGCGGCGGCGAUCGAAGAAUAGGAUGUCGGAGACCUUGUAUUUCUUGAAUCCGCUAAGCCUGCUGAGCUGGAUUGUAAUGUUGGCCGGCAAGCCAUGAGAGUCCCAAUCCUGAGAUGGUUCGUCGUCCUUGGCUAUCGCCGGCUUCGGGGAGAAAAGCCGGGACCAGAAAUCACCACCCUCUCCGGCGCUCCCGCCUCCUCCACCACCGCCUCCGCCUCCGGAGUUGGAAUUCCCGCCGCCGCCGCCAAGGAAAAUGUGGGCAGUAGCCCCGAGGACAGUGGCGCCGAGGACGGUGGCGCCGACACUGGUGCCAAGGACGAACGAGGUUUUAAGAACGUAGUCGAGGGGACUAGUAGAGUGGGGGCGAGUAUCGGAUUUUUGGUGAAUGGGUUUGGGGGGUUUGGAAGGGGAGGCGUAGGAGGAUGAUGAGAGAGGGGCGAGCGUGGAUUGGAUGGUGGAGGAGGUAGAGAAGUUAGGGAGGAAUGGGGCAGUGGCGGAGGAAGUGGAGAAAUUGCGGCGACGAGUACGGGAAGAGGGGAGAUUGAGAGGGUAGGCCAAGCCCGGAGAGGCCAUCGCCGCCAUUUGGG